AAACUUGAGAGUUUGAUCAUGGCUCAGAACGAACGCUGGCGGCAGGCCUAACACAUGCAAGUCGAACGAACGUAGCAAUACGUUAGUGGCGCACGGGAGAGUAACGCGUGGGAACCUACCUUUUGGUUCGGGAUAACGUCGGGAAACUGACGCUAAUACCGAAUAAGCCCUCCGGGGGAAAGAUUUAUCGCCGAUAGAUGGGCCCGCGUUAGAUUAGCUAGUUGGUGAGGUAACGGCUCACCAAGGCGACGAUCUAUAACUGGUCUGAGAGGAUGACCAGUCUCACUGGGACUGAGACACGGCCCAGACUCCUACGGGAGGCAGCAGUGGGGAAUAUUGGACAAUGGGGGCAACCCUGAUCCAGCCAUGCCGCGUGAAUGAUGAAGGCCUUCGGGUUGUAAAGUUCUUUUGGUGGGGACGAUGAUGACGGUACCCACAGAAUAAGCUCCGGCUAACUUCGUGCCAGCAGCCGCGGUAAUACGAAGGGAGCUAGCGUUGUUCGGAAUUACUGGGCGUAAAGGGCGC
rnacentral:rRNA from 1 species